UGUCUUUAGGUAUUUUGUAAUUAAAGAUAUUUCUGCCCGGUGUAUUAAAAUAUAAACGGCCGCGGUACUCUGACCGUGCGAAGGUAGCGUAAUCAUUUGUUUUUUAAUUGAAGACUAGUAUGAAUGAAUUUAUGAAGGAUUUUCUGUCUCUUUUUAUUUUUUGUAAUUUUCUUUUUAGGUGAAGAAGCCUUUUUUUUAGCACUAGACGAUAAGACCCUAUUGAGUUUGUACUUUUUUUUAGUUAUUUUUUAUUUUAUAUAUUUUUAUAAUUAUUCUAUAAAGUUUGGUUGGGGCGACCCUGGAGAAUAAAAUAACCUCUUUUUUUUUAUAGGUCCACUUUUUGUGAGAAAAUAAUAAAUUACCAUAGGGAUAACAGCGUUAUUUUUUCUGAGAGUUCUUAUUGAUGAGAAAGUUUGCGACCUCGAUGUUGGACUAAGAUAUCCUAGUGCUGUAGUUGGUAAUAAUGGUAGGUCUGUUCGACCUUUAAAAUCUUACAUGAUCUGAGUUCAGACCGGCGUGA
rnacentral:rRNA from 1 species